rnacentral:lncRNA from 10 species
GUUUGGGAAAGAGAAUAUUGGAAUUCAUAUUUCUUUAAAUCAUUCUUUUAAACUUUUAAUUUUUAUGUAGUUUUAGUACAUCUUAUUUGCUAGUACUGUGUCAUCUUUUUGGCUGUAUUUUUCACUGGCUGCCACCUGGCCAAAUCACCACUUGGGUUAUAACAGCAGCCUCUGACUGGUCUCCUUCCGUCUGACCUUGGCCCCUGCACUCUACUCUCAACGUAGCUCUCAGAGUGAUGGAACUCAGAACUUGUCACUCCUGCUCAAAAACUUCCAGUUUCACCCAGGGGAAGUAUCAAGGUGACAUGAGGGGACAGGAAAUAUUGUCCCUAAAUGUUCUAAGAGUGGAUCUCCCAUGUAUUCAAGCAAUCGAGGGGUGUUUAAUGAGCUCCAUCUACAUAGCAAUGAUACAGCAUAGCUCUGCUGGGGCUCUCUGCUCUCCCCUUCUCCACAAAAGGGAAGGACAGGUAAGAACAGGCACAAUAAAAUAGAAACCAGACAGAAAGAAUUGGGAACAAGGAGACAAGACAAGAAUCAUGCUUUACGUGAUUUAAUCCUAAUAUUUUUAUGAGAGGAUGGCUAUCAUCAUUUCAUUUUAAAGAUGAGGAAAAUGAAGCCGGGUGCGGUGGCUCAUGCCUGUAAUCCCAGCACUUUGGAAGGCCGAGGAAGAUGGCUCACCUGAGGUCAGGAGUUCGAGACCAGCCUGGCCAGAGAGAUGGCCAGAGAUGGCUAGAGAUGGUUGCUGCAAAUGCCAUUAUUUCAUUCCUUUUUAUGGCUGAGUAGUAUUCCAUGAGGGAAGGAAUUAGGAGCGGGAAGGAGAUUGACUGUUAGUUUCUUAGGAUUGGACUAACAAAAGUGGAGGUUGUUACUUACACUGCAAAAGAAACAACCAGAGCUGUGUCACUCAGAAGGCUGAAAAGAAUCAGGCUGACAGCAUAAUGCAGUGAAGAUGGGUGAAGAGAGAUGUGUUUCAUCUGAAAUUUGAAGGGCUUUACAACUCUUCUCCUUUAACUAACUUACCAUCCUUUAACUAACUUACCACCCAAAAUGAAUUCUGUAGCCUUUGUCA